UUGCAUAUUUAUCUAGAUCUGUUAUUUAAUAGGCAACUUAAUGCUUUCACAGUGUUCUUUGUAAGAUUAAAAGUUCUCUUUUAAGUCACAAUGGCAGACAUGUUAAUUAUAUGUGUGAACAUUACCCUGAACGUAUUUAUGAGGUCUUUUAGUUAUAUCUGGCUUGUUGGUUGCUUUAAUUCUCAUUAAUGUCCUGUCUGGUUGAAGUUUUCAUUUUAUGAGCUCUUCAGUCUGUAUAUACUUUCAUCACAUCAUCCUUGCUUGCCAUCUUCAUUUUGUUUUAUCAUGGUUGAUCAACAUGUUUCAUGGUUUGGUGGUGUUUUGCAGCUAAUUUAUUUUUUCUGUCUACUAUAUUAUUGAAUUCUUUAAACCAAUUUUUUUUUCUUCUUAUCUUUCAGAAAUCUGCUGCAAAACCCAUACAACCCAUGCAUGUCUACUUAUCGUCAGCUCCCUAUGUAGGCUCUGGUGCACCCUCCUCGAUGUAUAUGGGUGUGCCACCUUAUGGAUCUUCUCUCUUCAAUGGAUCAUCUUUGUCUCCUUAUGAUGUUCCAUUUUCUGGGGGUUCUGCCUAUCCUUACAACUACGGCAGCCGCCUUUCUAGAGGCAGCCCGUAUAGACCCCUGCAUAUAGCUUGUCCAACACCUUAUUCUAGUGGAUCUAUGAUGGGAAAUGGCAGGAUUUACGGUAUGCCACCCCUGAUGGACCUCUAUGGCUUGGGUAUGGGUAUGGGUAUGGCCAUGGGCCAUGCUGACAUGGUAUGUGCAAAAUGUCCAUGUCUAGAGCUGUUUACUAAUUAAUUUAUUUGCAAGGAAGCAUAGUACUACAGAAUAACGUAUAUGAUGCCCGCAUAAUCAUGUUUAAGUUGACAAAUAUUUUCAAAACCAUACUCUUUCUCUAUGUGAUGGUUUGGGAAAAUUUUCUCUGAACUCCUCUCCUUCUCUACCUAGGUUCCCAUUAUUUGUUUUGGUACGUGAAUUAUUGAAAGCGCUGUCACCUCUUAGUAUAUUUUCUUGUAUUAGAUGUUUGGUGGAACGAGCUCAUGACUGAAUUUUUUUCUGCUAGGCCCAAGGCCUGGACUUUUUCCAAAUGAUAAAUAUCAAAAGAAAGGUUCAGAUUUUGCCAUAUCUAGGCUGUUUUUGAACUUCUGACCAAUGAUUUGACUUGAUGCUAUCUCUUUAUGUACUAACUUGUAUCUCUGUGUCUUCGAACAUUGCUUUGUUGAAUAUGCAGGCUGCGAAAUCUGAUUCCAAUUCUAAACACAAGAUGCCCGAUGGGAACUGGAAGUGUGAGAAAUGCAAUAACAUAAACUACCCUUUUAGGACCAAAUGUAACAGACAAAACUGUGGGGCCGAUAAACCAUCUGAGGGACAGAAAUCCCCUUCAGAACCAGCAGAUGAAAACGAUCAGGUCUGUCAUGAGAUACAUUUACUUACUAUGUCCAUUUGUUGCUUGAAAUUUCCAUUAAGAUUGUUAACCAUCUAUGUGUAUAGCACAAACAAAAAAAGUAUUAAAGUUCACGAUAUAUCUUUAGUUAAUGAUCUUUUGGUGGAACUA